rnacentral:rRNA from 1 species
UACGUAGGGGCUAGCGUUAUCCGGAAUUACUGGGCGUAAAGGGUGCGUAGGUGGUUUCUUAAGUCAGUGGUGAAAUCCUGCAGCUUAACUGCAGAACUGCCGUUGAUACUGAUAGUCUUGAGUUUGGUUAAGGUAGGCGGAAUGUGUAAUGUAGCGGUGAAAUGCUUAGAUAUUACACAGAACACCAAUUGCGUAGGCAGCUUACUGAGCCGACACUGACGCUGAGGCACGAAAGCGUGGGGAUCAAACAGGAUUAGAUACCCG